GGAAGGGCUGUGGCUCAGUGGGUAGAGCCCAUGCCUUGCAUGUACAAGGUCCCAGGUUCAAUUCCUGCUAUCUCCA